AUGCUCGUUAUUAUCGCCCUUCUUCACUUCUAUACCUGGUCGAUUCGAGUCCUUUUGUGCCAAUUCGACAAUCUUCUCAAUACACUUUUCAAGAAUCUCAAAUGUACACAUAGGUUUUCGGCUGCAAUUAGCAAAUUCUCAACAAAAAGUGACUUUUGCGUUACGGACGAUGCAUGAAGGAGAGAGGAAGAAGAGACAGAAUUUUUGUGAAGAGGCAAAUGACGCUGUAUAAACUCAUUGUACUCCUAACGAUGGAACGCGAGAGUAUCUGAAGAGUCCUCCCACAGUGUAUCUGGCUCGAUGUCCUGCUCGAUGUCUGCAUUCCUCGCACACAUGGCUAGAUCCCAAUCUCAGUCGCUCAAGCACGGAUUGAUGGUCAACAAACCUCAUAGUACUAGGUUUAUUCAAAUUCCCAUCUCGAUCAAAUGGAAGGGCACCACCAGUAGAAAGUGAGAACCGGCUCAGUUCGAUCAUUGCAUGAGCAAUAUCCUGUGAAAUCCUUGUGCGGUGCACCAUCAUCUCUCCCUUGGAAAUAUUUUGUCAAACCAACAAUCGUACAAAGAACCUCCCUGACCAAAGCUCACCAAGAUGCAAGGACAACCAAGCUCGUUAUCUAGCGUCGCGUCAAAUGCCAAUACAUCUGGAAGUGGAACUGAAGCUUCACAUAGGAUGAGUCGCAUGGGUAAAGCUUCAGACCGAAGGGCGGAUGCGGCUGAUGCGUUUGAACUGCUCUAGAGUUCUACAUGCAAACACUUUUAGGAUCCAUCGUAACCCAUCUCCGAAUUUGAUCGGAAAUAAUAUAUGGUAAGAACCGAAAAGCAGCGAUUCAAUGGCUAUAGGCUCGAUGGGCACUUCUGGUUUUUCUAGGAAAUCUGCCGACGCUUUACGCACCGAAGCACAAUAAGCUGGGAGAUGUUCCAGUUUCAACUUAGAUAGAACACCAGAUAAAAAUGGUGGCUUCAUCAUCGGAAUCUGAUACCUCCCGGUCGCCUUGGAUGACCCGUUGCUGAUAUUCUUCCAGAGCUCUGACGUCCAUGACGCAAGCAAAGUAUCGAGCAGUUUCAGAGUGUUAACGAUGCUGAAGCUUAGGCUUUGCGAUAGGAAGGCAAGAAAAAGGUGAAGAAAGUGAGAUGGUAUUGAUGAGGGAGGGGGCAAUUCUGAAUCAUAGCACAACUUAACUCUUAACCGCCACACGAGGAGCAAAGAAAGUAGUCCUAUAUUAAUCGACAUGAAAAUAGGGGCGGCUGCUAUUUGAGUGAAACAUAUUCCAGCUAUGAGACUUUUUAUUGGCUCUACCUUUUUUCCAUGAAUUCGGAGUAUCUAUGAGGAGAAUAGACGAUAAUAAAGCCAUGGUAAAUUGGGGUUCUGACAAACCAUAUCAAGAGGAGCCUAUGGAUGAGAGAGAUUCGACAACGCAUUUGAUUGUUUCAGAGCGGACUAAUGAAUCAAUGGGAAGUUGAGAGAUUGACGUAACUAUUGCACUAAGAUGAAAUGACUG
rnacentral:sRNA from 2 species